UCUGCUUUGACCAUAAUCCUGAAGACCAAUAGGGCGGAAUACCCUCUUCGGUCAAUCAGAAAAAUGGUUGUUGGGUCUUCAUCUACUCUGCUUCGACCAUAAUCCCGAAGACCAAUAGGGCGGAGUACCCUCUUCGGUCAAUCAAGAAAAUGGCUGUUGGGUCUUCAUCUACUCUGCUUCGACCAUAAUCCCGAAGACCAAUAGGGCGGAAUACCCUCUUCGGUCAAUCAGGAAAAUGGCUGUUGGGUCUUCAUCUACUCUGCUUCGACCAUAAUCCCGAAGACCAAUAGGGCGGAGUACCCUCUUCGGUCAAUCAAGAAAAUGGCUGUUGGGUCUUCAU
rnacentral:lncRNA from 1 species